AUCUCUGUAGUUCAAGCGACUUUGAGUCCAUGAAAAGCACUAUACAAAUUCAAUUUAUUAUUAUUAUUAU